GGAGGCAGCAGUGGGGAAUAUUGCACAAUGGGCGCAAGCCUGAUGCAGCCAUGCCGCGUGUGUGAAGAAGGCCUUCGGGUUGUAAAGCACUUUCAGUCGUGAGGAAGGCGGGUACGUUAAUAGCGUAUUCGUUUGACGUUAGCGACAGAAGAAGCACCGGCUAACUCCGUGCCAGCAGCCGCGGUAAUACGGAGGGUGCGAGCGUUAAUCGGAAUUACUGGGCGUAAAGCGCAUGCAGGUG
rnacentral:rRNA from 1 species